rnacentral:rRNA from 1 species
GUAGUCUCGCACAGAUGCAUAUCAAUAAGGCGGAGGAAAAGAAACUAACAAGGAUUCCCUCAGUAACGGCGAGUGAAGCGGGAAGAGCUCAAAUUUGAAAUCUUGAAAGGUCACCUUUCACGAAUUGUAGUUUAAAGAAGUGUUUUCUGUUACGAUCGUAAUAUAAGUUCUUUGGAAUAGGACAUCACAGAGGGUGAGAAUCCCGUCUAUGAUUGCGAUUUGUAGCUUUGUGAUACACUUUCAAAGAGUCGGGUUGUUUGGGAAUGCAGCCCAAAACGGGAGGUAAAUUUCUUCUAAGGCUAAAUAUUGGCGAGAGACCGAUAGCGAACAAGUACCGUGAGGGAAAGAUGAAAAGAACUUUGAAAAGAGAGUUAAAUAGUACGUGAAAUUGUCAAAAGGGAAGCGUUUAACACCAGUGUUGUUUUCUGAAAAUCAACCUCUGUUAGCUUUAUGCAUGUUUGUUUAGACCUAAUCAGCUAUCUUGCAUGUUCUAUUGUUUGCAGUGGUGCACCUUUCAGUUUACAGGUCAACAUCAGUUUUUUUUACCGUAAAAAAGUUAAAGAAAGGUAGCUCAUGGCUCCGGUCGUGAGUGUUAUAGUCUUUUUCCUAUGCGGUAGGAGAGACUGAGGUCUGCAGUGUAGGCUAUUUGGCUAGAUACUCAGGUGCUAUGUGAUACCAUUUCAUAAACAACUUGUUGAUUAUGUUUUGUCUAUUGCAUACUCGCUUGUACUAUCAUACCUACGCUUAGGAUGUUGAAGAUGUAGCACAUCAU